CUGAACAGCGCUCGCCCUGUUUUCACUCUCGUGUAAACCCUGUGUAAACCGCAGGUUUUUAACCACCACUGUGACUCCUUAUUAGCGAACCUAUAUAUGCAGGCGAGAAUAAGAUUUGGGGCGCCAAGACAUGUGAUCAUUAGCAGCCCCAGAAGUAAAAAUUAUGCUUCCGAAAUCUCUUGAUGGCGAUUCCGCAAAAGAAGUGGAGACCCCACCUCUUCUGUGCCAAACAUGGCAGAAGCCCUUUUUACCAAUACGCCGGACAUCUUGCGACCUGACCAGAGGUAACCUGUUCUUCACUCAGGGUUCAUGAUGUAUAAACCUCAAGUCGGCACAGAAAAGUUUCACAAUAUUUUGUAUAACUAAACACGGCUAAUCAGCCCUUUAUCUUUCAUGUAUAUAUUUAUAUAGUCAGCGGGAAUAAAAACUUGACCGUAUUUGGCUAUUUAGUUUUGGACACCGAAAAGCAUGAUGGGUAAAGAGGGCGGGGCAAUUGACAUUGAAUGCUGCCAUUGGAUGCUACAUGCACUCGAAUUAAUGUUGCAUUUAGGCAAUGUGGGAAAGUCGAUUACGUGGUUACAAUCGUAAUCGUGAGAUUCUGUGAGAUUCUUUAAGAGCGAUUACAGAAUCUUGACAGUUUUUCGACCUCUCCCUGAGCCUUACAUAGAUUACCGAAUUUAAUUGAAAAAUAAAACUUUGUUAUAUUUAAUUUUAUUAUAUACUGUUUACGCUGAAUUAAAAGUGAAUUACACAUCAAUAGAAAGAUCAUAAUACUGUGGUGUGUGUGUGCGGUGUUCGUGUUCUCUGUUGCUCAGAUUCCCAGGCACAACUUGAGGACAUUUACUAAGUUAUCUGAAUAGUAGCAUUUACGAUCAUAUACAUUUAAGUAUUGCAAUGAUCUUUUAUGAUGUUCUCAUAGCUGAAGAAAAUCAGUAAUAUUCUGAAGCUGACCUAGUGUAAUACAGGUCCUAAUUCUUGGUUUGGAUCGACCUCACCAACAACAUUUGUCCAAAUUUUUACCCUAACUACCAUAAAUCAAUCAAAUCCAAGCAACGAUUAUGUUUCUUAAAUCUGUCAGAAGAGGGCGCCAAAUCUUUGUUAAGAAGACCAUCCAGUCCAAACAAUAUUCAACGUACAUCUAUUUAUUCAUUUAAUAACCAAUAUCCCUUAUACAUAACAUAAAAAUAAAUAACAUUUAUUCAGUAAUACUGUGGAACAUGACCAUCGGGGGAUCAGAAGCUGUACUGUUGAUGUUACAUGGUAGAGAAACCCUACCUGUGAUUAUUUUGAUCAGUUCACUGGAUAUGACACUAUUAAUUACAUGGGUGAUUUGUUUCUUUUUUCUUUCUUUUUUUUAAAUGUUCUUAUUUGUUUUCUUUCUAAGACUGAUGAGAGAUAAUUGGUAUCAAUAGCUGCUUUUCCACAACAGGAACAACAGUGACUAUGACCUUUGGAUGGACUCGCUAUGUUGUCAAAGUAAGGAAAAGGGAAGAAUUAUUUGACCGACCAAAAAGUCCACACACAGAGACAUGUCAAAAGCUUUGGUAGUACUUUUCAAAGUUUCAGUGGGCUACAAGGGGGUCGGGCUUUUAGAGCAGGACAUUUCUGAUUGGUUAAAUAGAAUAUUUGGAGCAUAUCAUGCUGUUAAUCACCUCUGGCUCCUCUUGGCAAUAGAUGUUUGUUUAUUAUGUUCCACGGAAAUAGUUGGUUACUGAUUCUAAAGCCCAGUUUGAGGGACGAGAGAGAGAAAGCAGCAGUGGUUAAGUCAGUUAGAAAAAAAAGUGUAUACUGGAGAAAAAAAGGUUAUUUUCUUUUUACCUUUUCUUUCUACAGGUGUUAAAGUCUAAAGCACAGAUAUACACAUUCUCUGUGGUCAGUAAAGAGAUAGUACUGCCAUGCUGUUAGCUCAAAAAGGUACUCUUUAUAUUGUAUUCCAAAAAGCUGCUCACAAACUAAAAUAUACAAAUGUUAGGUUUUGGCUUGAUUGACCAAAAAAUAGUUCCAGAACGAUAACUCCACUUACAUAUACAAACUGAAACAUUUACAUAUUGGUGAACUUUAUGAAGCUAAAUUAUUGGGCCAGAAUUGAAUAAUGAUCUUCUACUAUUUAUGUUCCUAUAUAGAAAAAUUAAACAGAAUUUUGGUGAUAUGUUUAAAACAUAAAAAUAAUUUGUGGAAAGUAAACAGGAGUUAAACAGCACAGCCAAGGGUAUGCACAGUUUGUAAAGCAAGACAAACUAGUAACACAGGUUUUGAUAAACUGAAUAGAGCUACCGUUUUCCUUUUUGCAUUAAAAAAGAUGCUAGAAUAGCUUUGGAUUUCAGUUUAUUAUAUCAUACAAAUAAUGCUGAAGCUGAAUCCAAGUGUAAUAUAGUAAAAAGUGAUACUAAACCAAUAAACUAGUGAUGCUUAAGGAACGAUAGGAAGUAUGUUUUUUACAGCAAAGCUACAUUUAAAUCAUACGUUCAACAAAACUGGUAGAAUGAAAUAUAUCUAUUUGAAGAUAGAAUAAUUAAAGAUUAUUUGUCUACAUGUGUAUCCCCUGGAACACGUUAGGUUGGCACCAAAAGUCCAAUAUUUAAAUCAUUUUUCGGGGUUUGGAAAAAGUCAAAGACAAAAAUUAAGAUUUUGUAAACUAAGUGCGUGUUUGCUACACGAUUCAGCUUAAUGUCUUCAAACUAUGAAGUCUGUUUGCUCAGAAGUGUUCGCUGCUUGGUGUUUUUGCAGUUCAUUUGUUGAAAUAAGUCAGAUGGAGGCAGUCCUUAUCCUAAGCUAUGCUAACUGCCUCCUGACUCCAGAACACUAGAAGAUAAUGUCGCAUCAGUCUUGUCAUCUCACUGGGAAAGAGAGAUUGGAAAGAAAGCAAAUAAGAAUGUUUCCACAAAUUGUUUUCAAAGAACACAGAGAGAAGCUAGAGUUGGACUGAAAGUUAGUCAUUCACCUUCAUUGUAGUAAUAUUACUACUUACAGUCACUGCAGAUGUAUUGGUAUAGCUUGUAAGAUUACAAAUAAGAUGGAAAUGAAUCAUAUUUUUUGUGCUGUUGUUGAUUGAUGUAUAUAUAAGUUUUCAAUUGGUCUUUUUAUCCCAUAGAUUCAAUCUUUCAAAAUAAUACUUCUUCCUGUCUUUCCAGUGUUUUCCUCCCGACUACAUGAGUCUGUAGUCGUCAGUAACGCUCACAGCACAGUGCUAACACACAGUAUCAUACAAUACAAUGUAACCCUUAGAGGCAAAAGUGAGAAAGGUAGUUGUACAGACUGGUUGGUUUUCAUUCAGCACGUUUUCAAGGCUUGCCACCCCAACACUGUAUUCCUCACCUAUACCAAGAACUCAAAAUGAUAACAUUUGAUUGUCAAACAAACACAGACUUUCACCAGAGGGAAAAAUGCAGUUUGAAUUAGUGCAAAACAAUAAAUGAAAAAUGAAAAGGGAUUGCAGAAAUGAGUUAGAAUACAUUCCUUGUCAAAUACUAAGCUGCAACCACAUGAUGUACAUUUUAUUAACUGGUUCAGACAAAUGAAAAAAAAGUGUCAGACUGGUCACAUGAAUGCUAAGUAAAAACAUUAGAAUGCAUAUUUUCUUACUGUUUACAGUGUAGUGUGUGUUGUAGAAGCCCCAGGGAAAGCAAACUGUACGCAACAAGAUUCAGGCUUGCAAGCAGCAAAUUAUUAGCCUCUAGAGCCUUAAAGGAAUUCAUGAUCCUCUUUGUUAAAGGUAUUCACUGCAGGUUUUGGAAGUCAUGUGUGCAGACACCCAAUCAUUCUCCAUUACAGCUGAAUAAAAUCUACAGUACAUUAGUUAGUUAACAAACAAUGUGAGCAAGAUUAACUUGCACUUCUUAACUAUAUAUAGGUUGGUAAAAUUUCUGCUUUUGAACACUGAUAAAAGGGAUUUCUUCUGUUAUACUUAUAUAACAGGUCUAAAAUACAAUAGCCUACUACUGUAGCCCUUAAAAAAAACAAAAAACAUUUAAUAUUCUUUAGGAUUUUGCUGAAAAGAUACUGAUAUGUGGGGGCCAAAGAGGCAAACUAGGCUAACUCAGCAUGAAGACUGGAAGCAGGAGUGACAGCUAUCACAAUAGCUAGCGAUACUAGCGCCUCUAAAAUGCACAGCUUAUGGAAGAUAAGCUGUGCAUUUUUGAAUCUGUGGUUUAAAAAAGUCUAAAUCAUUUUUCUUAUUAAUAAUUCAGCAGGGAUUCUGGAGAGAGUUUUUGAGUGUCUCCAGCCAGCAAAGAAAAACUAAAGUCACAACAAAGAUUUUAUCACAUUUGUUAGCUAACAAGGGAUUUUAGUGACUUUGGGUGUAGGUAUAAUGCAGCUCCGAACUGUUGUUUUAGAAUUACAUUUAUGUGCGUAAAAUCAGCGUGAGAAAAUUAAUAAUGGGAAAUUCCUUUGUCACAUUUAUAUAACAGGUCUAAAAACAUCAUAAAAACACAAUAACAACAGAACACUUACAUUAGUGACUUUGGAAAACAGUUGCGUAUUAACAACUUAACUGGUUGAGUGCCUCCAGCUGUUGAAGAGUAAUAGAUAAACUUGGUAACUACAGGUUUUAGUGGCUUUUCAGACAUGGUUUAAACAAGAAAGUGCCAGUUUAGGGAACCAGUAGGCAAGUGAUACAGGUACAGGAAAAAUACACAAAAACCCUUUUAGUUGGUGUUCAGAGGGAGGGGUUAUAAGUUGUUAAUUGCAAUUUUGUCUGUUACAUUUUUUGACAACUGUAACUGUGUUUUAUAAAGCUGUCCAGAACAAAAACAGACAACAAAUGCUCCCUUUGUUUGAUUCUGUUUUGAUCCAGCCACAGAACAUUACCAAGGGCCACCACUGUCCCACAGGCCGCACUUUGGCAACCAUGAAUGUAAACAUAAAAUUAAUUUGCUUAAACAUGUUACUACUCUCAAUUCUUUAUGCUAAGCUAAGAUGGAGCUUUUCUCUAAUUCUCUAAGCACUUUUAAGGCCCUACAAAGAAUUUUAUCAGGUUCAUUUGUACAGCAAAAAGAAAAUGAAAGCAAAAAAGGCAGAAAAUGCAGCUAAAUCCUUUGUCAUGGUUUCAUGACAUGACAUUUGUUGGGCUGAUGGCCCGGAUAAGCUGAAUUAAAGCCAGUUUAGAGGCCUGCAAUAAACAUAUCAAAGCUCAUUAGGUUUUGCUGUGCAUAUCAUCUAUGUCUAUAUCAAUGGGGCAUAUUUAGACCUUAAACUUCCUUUUCUCACAUUGCCACUUACUGCUAUUGUGAAUGUUGUAUGUUACACUUAGUCUAAUUACAAUAAUCUAUGUUUAUGUAUACACUUUUACUACAAAUAAUCUCUACUUUUUUACAAAAAAAAAACCAUUAUUAAUCUAUUCACAGAAUGGUCAAAGGUCAAUUUGGCAUAAGUGCACACACAGCUUACAGUAGCAGGAGGAGCACAUUGAUUUAAUAUGGUGACACUUAUUGCAGAGUGCACUGUUCACACUAUGAAUUAAAUAGCUUUCAGUCACCUUUAGCUCUCAUCUUUAUAGAUUUAACUAUUAUUUACAAUGUUACAGCCACUUAAGACUGCAGGCAAAGCAUUGCACAAACUUUUGACAAGUAGAAACCCAUAAUAGUACCAUAUGAAAUGUGGAUGAUGCCAGACCAUAAUAGUCCAUUUGUACUUUCGUAUGCUCAGUAGUCCUUUAGCUCCAUUGCUAUGAAAAGGAGUACUGGCUACACUUUAAGCAACAACACCUGAUCACAUUGGCAUGCUUUCUUUUUUUUUUCUUGAGCAAGAUGAGGCUCAAAACAGCUCGACUCAUGCUACAUCAUAUCAAAUUAACAAUACAAUACUUUCCCAACAGGUACACAUUGGUAUUUACUCUCGCAUCCUGAUUGAAAAUAAUCCCAGUGGUCUGAAAAAUCAACACAGAAAGGUCACAAAACACAAGGUGAGGAAGUGAUGGAUGGUGAUAUCACAGGGUGCUAAGCCUCAGUGAUUUGGUUUUGAUGAUCGGCUGUGAGACAAAGUGAGCUCUUGGUGUGAUAGGGUAGUGUUGGAACACAUAGACUUCUCAGUCAGCAGUGGCAGCUUUUUUCAGCUGAUGGAGGGGCCAACUCUUCAUCCUCUGCAGAGUAGAGAACCUUGGCAGUCAGGCCGCUCUUCACGCCAUCCCACCCAUCACGGGUGACGAUCUCCCCCAUCUUCAUCAGCUCGUAGAUGUCCCUGGUCAGCAGCUCAAAGGCCCGGUCCACAUUGCUGUUGCACUUGGCCGAUGUCUCCACAUAGCGAAUGCCCAGCUCAGCGGCCAGCUGCUCUGCCUCAUCCCUGCUCACCUUCCGGUCCUUGUUGAGAUCACUUUUAUGGCCGAUGAGGAUGUAGACCAUGUGGUGAGGCAGGAUGUGCUCACUCACCUCCUUGUGCCAUUCCCUCACAUGGUCGAAGGUUUUACGAUUGGUGAGAUCAAAGACAAGCAGGCCACCUACAGAGUUGCGGUAAUAUGAUGUUGUGAUAGACCUGGUGGAAAGACACAUUACUGGUGUUAGAAACCAAAGACAAACAUCUCUAGACUUAUAACUUCUAAAUGUCUUGGACAGCUCUAUGAACUUGGAUGGUUCUUACCAGUUCACUACCCUUAUACUGCUGUUUGUAACAUCACAAUAUGAGUUUAAUUUUUGUGGUGGAAAAUUCAUAUCACUUGAGGUAAGUCCAAGUCCUCUCUGCCAAAGCAAGUCAAGUCAAACCCUGAGUCAAGUCAAGUCUUUGAAGAAAAGGGGUGGCUGUAGCUCAGGAGGUAGAGCAGGUCUUCCAGUCUCCAUGUCAAAGUAUUGUUGAGCAAGAUACUGUACCCAACUUGCCUGAUGCGUUUUUCGGUGUGUGAGUGUGUUUAGGUGAAUGGGACAUGUAUAAAAAAGUGCUUUGAGUGCUCAGUUACAAUAGAAAAGUAGUCAUAGUUCCCGUUAAUCAGUUUAUAGAAAACAAACUUAAAUAUUAUAGCCAAAGUGAAGCUCAAAUGUCAAGACAGCGGAAACUAAGAUAAGAUCAAGUCCCAUUUGACACAAUCCCAAAUCAAUUUUCACACUGUUUUCCAAGUCAGUCAAGGAAUGUGGUUGCAUGCUCUCUUUUAAGUCUUUCAACUGUCUAUUUGCAAGCUAACCACUUAAAUGACAUAAGAAUUUCCUUUCAAAGCUGUGUUACUGGUGUUUUACAUUAGUAAGACUCAUGGAGUUACAUCUGUGCUUUAGCUGGCCUUGCCAUUCAGAUGAAACUACUUAUUGAGACAGUGUGCUCAAUAUGAGGGGAGUUAAAUAUGUUAAAACUGAAGCAUACUUAAUAAAUUGUGUAAAUUGUGUACUUAAGUGAAUUGUGUCAGGACCUCAUUUAUGAUGGUAAUAUAUCACUGAAUGGCAUAAUACAUAAUUUGAUAAUAAAUUUGGACCUCACCCAACAUUUGGGACUUUUUUGUGGUCAAAGUCUGAAAUGUACAGGUCUAAUAAAUAUAUCCAAGUCAUAUUGCUAUGGAAGGUCUGUCUCUCUUGGCUUCUUAAAACAAUUUUUGUAAUUUUAUGAAGUCAAAACUUGCAAUGCGAAUGCUUUUUUUUAACGUUUCAUACAUUAAUAUGCUUAAUUAAAUGGAAACUAAACAAUGCCAUCAAGUGAAAUAAAAUACAAAAACACAAAGGAUCCUUUGGGUCAUAACAUCUGGUGCAUGAUACUAUUCUAUUUAUGAAAAUAUAUGCACAUACAGACUCUGAUCUCUGCAUUUGAUGCUUUAAAAACCACAGAUUCUACAGCCAGAUAGGCAGAAGUGAAAGACAAGUGAAGUGAAGCCUGGAGGAAAACACCCUCAGAGGCUUCAAAAGGGAAAGCAGAUCUAAGAGCUUCUCCAGACACAGGAGUUCUUUAAAGAAAAUGAUCCGUGACAGUGGGCAUGAAAAGCAGAGCAAGCAACAGGAUAGAUGAAUGAAAACAACAACAAAUAGAUUUGGAUCGGGACUUGUCAUCCCCGCGAAGGCCUGGAAAUUGUAUAUGAGGGAAUCAAACUGGGGCCUAAAUAUGAGGAGGCUGCCCAUCAUCCAUGAAAGCAUGAUGUAAGUCGCCGUGUCCUGUUGUUAUACAGGUCAGGACAUCGUAAUAUCUUCUAUUGGCCUCCUUUCUCCGCUGUCUAAACUCAUUUCAUUGCAUGCUAACUAGACGGGAAAAUGGCCCAUAUUCAAUUUAAAGGGACUGAGAAUAGUAGCCAAACACGACAUUAAACCGAGGGCUCGCAAUUAUUUAUUUAAAAAUCUCUUUGAAGGACUAUGGUUGUAUACAUAUUUAGCUCAGAUAGAUUCUAUAUAAGAUACAUUUCACCUCACUAUACCUGAAUCGUUCUUGGCCAGCCGUAUCCCAGAGCUGGAGCUUUAUUUUCACCCCGGGUUCGAUGUCAAGCGAGCGGGCAUAAAAAUCUACUCCGACCGUCGGGUCCGCCACAUCGCUGUAAAUUCCAUCCGUGAAACGCUUCAACAGCGAGGACUUGCCCACUGUGGAAUCCCCGAGUAGAAUGAUUCGAAACUGAUAUUGCCACAAAAUAUCCAUGGCAUGACUAGAGGGAAGAUACCUGCGGAGUGAGUGUGUGUGAAACAAAGCCCUGCGCGCAGCGUGUUUACAUGGAGCCCCAGCUGCUGCUACUGCCUUCUGUUCAGGAAGAGACGCGGAGCACAGAGCGGCCGCAGCAGUCAUGUGAUAGAUUUACCUAUGCUCUACUAGUCGAAUAUCACUCCAAUAAACCCGCUACAACCUCAUCUGGCCUGUGUAUGUUGUAAAAGAAUCUUAUAGGGGGUUUAAAAGCAGCAAAAACAGAACAAUAUAUCUAUAUGAGGUCCGUCUUGGGCAUGUUUUGCACAGUUUCCUUAACCACCCCCAUUUAUUUAAUAUAUCGUCCACUAUUGAUAUCACAAAACCUAAAACACGCAGUGUGUUGCUGUCCGUGGUUCUGAAGUAGCCUAUAUUCACUUCCAACGAUGGUCUGGAUUUACAGCAUAUUUCUCUAAUUGCACACAGUUUAUUCUGUGCCGUUGUACUCUGUGAAAAAUGCGUGGCUCUUUAAGUGUAAAACUCUAUUGCCCGAGUCUCAGUAAACUUCAAUAAAUACAGCAGGCAUUGCUUAAAAAAACAGAAGAAGAAGGAGGAGUGUGAUACUACAUAUCCCACUAUUCAACCGGUCCGCGUGAGUAAUGCGAGCCAAUCAGCGCACCGCUGCCGGACAUCAGAGUGAGUAUAUAAGAACAGCGGGCCUUACCGCUUUCUCUCUUCCUCCUGCAGUCUUCCAUGUGAGCUGAAGUCCUCAGGAAAGAGCUAUGGGUCUAUUUGAAAUGGCAGUUCAACCUUGUUUCCCAAUAUGCAGAAUGCAGGUACUGGGUGACACCAAAGGUGCAAGGCCAAAACCAUCAAAUGAGAACACAACAUGCAGGUGAAUGGAGACCUGUCAUUUGUAAAAGAGAACUGCUCAUUCAGGAGUCUAUCCGCGUGACCUCUUGGUGUUGCAGAGCUGUAACAAAGUGCAUUCACAUCUGUAAUUUACAGGUAUGGUGCUACGUUGGGAGUGACGUGACAUUUCCAUGAGAGAAUUGCUGCCAACUUUCCGGCUAGGUACAAACACUACUGAAGAAAACCAACUUGGAUCGGAGCUUUCUUGCAGCUGUGAAAUGCAUGAAUGAGUUGACCUGGCUCUUUAACCUCCUAAGACCUGAACUCUUCCAUGGCAUGAAUUUUUUUUUUUUUUUUUUUAAAUGGUCUAAAUAAGCCAAAAAUGUGACAUCCACAGAUGUGGAUGCCAGGUCGUAGGAGGUUAAGGGGCUGAACCUAAGA